CAAGGUUUCCGUAGGUGAACCUGCGGAAGGAUCAUUACAGAGUUCAUGCCCUCACGGGUAGAUCUCCCACCCUUGUGUAUUAUAUCAUAUGUUGCUUUGGCGGGUGCAAGCCCGCCAGAGGACCCAAACUCUGAGUUUAGUGUCGUCUGAGUACUAUAAAAUAGUUAAAACUUUCAACAACGGAUCUCUUGGUUCUGGCAUCGAUGAAGAACGCAGCGAAAUGCGAUAAGUAAUGUGAAUUGCAGAAUUCAGUGAAUCAUCGAAUCUUUGAACGCACAUUGCGCCCCUUGGUAUUCCGAGGGGCAUGCCUGUUCGAGCGUCAUUAUAACCAAUCCAGCCUGGCUGGGUCUUGGGCUCCGCCAACCGGCGGGCCUUAAAAUCAGUGGCGGUGCUGCCAGGCUCUAAGCGUAGUAAAUACCUCGCUAUAGGGUCCUGGUGGAGGCUUGCCAACAACCCCCAACUUCUUAGGUUGACCUCGGAUCAGGUAGGGAUA
rnacentral:sRNA from 1 species